GACGAACGCUGGCGGCGUGCUUAACACAUGCAAGUCGAACGGAAAGGCCUGCUUUCCCUUGUGGAUUGCGGGUACUCGAGUGGCGAACGGGUGAGUAACACGUGAGUGAUCUGCCCCCAACUUGGGUAUAAGCCUGGGAAACUGGGUCUAAUUCCCGAUAGGACUGCAGGGUGGUGCCUGUGGUGGAAAACGAUUUUCUAGUGGUUGGGGAUGAGCUCGCGGCCUAUCAGCUUGUUGGUGGGGUAAUGGCCUACCAAGGCGGCGACGGGUAGCCGGCCUGGGAGGGUGGACGGCGACAUUGGGACUGGGAUACGGCCCAGACUGCUACGGGAGGCAGCAGUGGGGAAGUUUGCACAAUGGGCGGAAGCCUGAUGCAGCGACGCCGCGUGGGGGAUGACGGCCUUCGGGUUGUAAACUCCUUUCGACCGCGAGGAAGCCACCUGGUUGGAAGGGUGGUGACGGUAGUGGUAGAAGAAGCACCGGCUAACUACGUG
rnacentral:rRNA from 1 species